rnacentral:tRNA from 1 species
GAGGGUAUAGCUCAGUGGUAGAGUAUGUGCUUAGCAUGCACAAGGUCCUGGGUUCAAUUCCCAGUACCAUUA